rnacentral:tRNA from 1 species
GUUUUAAUAAUUUAAAUAAAAUACUGGUCUUGUAAAUCAGUUAUAAGGACUCUAUCCUCCUUUUAAAACA